rnacentral:rRNA from 1 species
CAGUAGCCGCGGGAAUACGAAGGGUGCAAGCGUUACUCGGAAUUACUGGGCGUAAAGCGUGCGUAGGCGGCUUCUUAAGUCGGAUGUGAAAUCCCUGAGCUUAACUUAGGAAUUGCAUUCGAUACUGGGAAGCUAGAGUAUGGGAGAGGAUGGUAGAAUUCCAGGUGUAGCGGUGAAAUGCGUAGAGAUCUGGAGGAAUACCGAUGGCGAAGGCAGCCAUCUGGCCUAAUACUGACGCUGAGGUACGAAAGCAUGGGGAGCAAACAGGAUUAGAUACCCCCGUAGUCCCUGUCUCUUAUAC